GAUGAACGCUAGCGGCAGGCUUAAUACAUGCAAGUCGAACGAAGUGGUAACACUUAGUGGCGCACGGGUGCGUAACACGUAUGCAACCUACCUAUCGUUGGGGGAUAACUUUGAGAAAUCAGGGCUAAUACCGCAUAAAACAGCGUUACUGCAUGGUAAUGCUGUUAAAGUUACGGCGACGAUAGAUGGGCAUGCGUCCGAUUAGGUAGUUGGCGAGGUAACGGCUCACCAAGCCGACGAUCGGUAGGGGAUCUGAGAGGAUAAUCCCCCACACUGGCACUGAGAUACGGGCCAGACUCCUACGGGAGGCAGCAGUAGGGAAUAUUGGGCAAUGGUCGCAAGACUGACCCAGCCAUGCCGCGUGCAGGAAGAAGGCGCUCAGCGUUGUAAACUGCUUUUAUCAAGGAAGAAAAAGUUCUUGCGAGAACAAUUGACGGUACUUGAAGAAUAAGCCACGGCUAACUACGUGCCAGCAGCCGCGGUAAGGCACGA
rnacentral:rRNA from 1 species